rnacentral:rRNA from 1 species
UACGGGGGGGGCAAGCGUUGUUCGGAAUUACUGGGCGUAAAGGGCUGGUAGGCGGCCAACUAAGUCCGACGUGAAAUCCCUGGGCUCAACCCAGGAACUGCGUCCAAGACUGGGAGGCUUGAAUCCGGGAGAGGGAUGCGGAAUUCCAGGUGUAGCGGUGAAAUGCGUAGAUAUCUGGAGGAACACCGGUGGCGAAGGCGGCAUCCUGGACCGGUAUUGACACUGAGGCGCGAAAGCCAGGGGAGCAAACGGG